AAGCCGAGCGCAUCUGGAUUCCCCACCAUGGCCUGGGCGCCUCUGCUCCUCUCACUGCUCACUUACUGCUCAGGUUCGCUCGCCCAGUACGUGCUGACCCAGCCGCCUUCAGUGUCUGUGUCUCCAGGGCAAAAUGCUCAACUCACCUGCACAGGGAACAACAUUGGGGGCAAGAGUGUGCAGUGGUUCCAACAGAAACCUGGCAGCGCCCCGCUACGUGUUAUAUAUGGUAGUAGCAGCAGACCCUCUGGAAUCCCCGAUCGAUUCUCUGGCUCCAACUCCGGUAACACGGCCACGUUAACCAUCACUGGAGUCCAGGCGCAGGACGAGGCUGAUUAUUAUUGUCAGGUGUGGGACAGUAGUGCUGGUCACAGUGACACAGCCAGAUGGAGAAGUGAGACACAAACCUCUUGUUAUCAAAGAAAACAUGUCCCGUAA